UUCAGCGCUUACAAUCACUGGAGAGCAUCAAUGCAGGACCCGACAUAUGAGGGGUUUUGUUCGCUGAUGUUUGCGCUCUCCUAAUUUCCCUUAUGGUCCAGGGAAAGGCAGCUCCUGCUGCGAGUGGGCAGUGAGAUGCUCCUGCACGUGUAAGUAGAUGAAAACAAUAGCAAAAUUAAACCCAAGAAAAGAACACAAAACAGAGCAAAAUGGGAUAACGGCUGGAGCCUGGGUAGGGGCCGAACUACAAACCCUAUGGCUCUGGCUGGACCUGCCUGUCUGCAGAAGAUGAGCGCUUCCCCCUCUUUUGUAGAGCAGCAAAAGCUAUUCUUGUAGCUGUCGAGUCCUUUUCUGAAAGUUGGGAAGGUUUUCUCUUUGCCUCAAUAACCUGCAGCAGAGAGUCCUACAGGCUAAUUACAUGUUUCAUUUUAAAUCCUUUAAUUUUUUUGUAGUUCAAAUAGAUAACUGUGGUUUUCUCCCACAUCUUUGAUUCAGACAGAUGAUUUGCUUCAUUAAUUGAUAUGUGGAGGAGGGGGUCUAGAAAUGAGUUACAUUUAUGCUUCAAAAAAUAAUCUCUUCCCAACUGCUUUUUUACUUCUGUAAAUCCUCAUAUUUAUUGCAAAAUUAUCCUGAAGUGAAUGUCAUCAACCUUUGUCCAGGAGUCUGUUGCUGGAUUAAUUAGUCUAUAAUGAAUCUACCUCUCAUCCUCUUUGAUUUCCGUCUUUCAGGCUGGCCUGGUGGCAGACUGCACCCAGGAAGCCGCUUUCUACCCUGAGCUGUCAGUGUGAGGAGCAGGGCAGGGGCUGCUUGCUGAAGCCAGCAGCUUUGCAGAGCUGGGAUUCCAGUCAUUGAGGUGAAAACACAUUUGGAAAGUGCUUUUUUUUCCUGGAGGAGAUGUUGGAAACCGGUGAGCCCAGAAUGGAGCCAUCUCAGAGCCCAAGCUGGUCCUGGUCCAGCCACUCUUUUGGGUGGCGCAAGCAUCCCUGCACUAAACAGCGAUGGAUUCACCUCACAGAGGGGAAGAUUUAGUUGCAAGCCUUGCAGCUUGGUGAUGAUUAUUUCAGCUCUUCCUCUUCUUGGCCAGAUGGAGAAACUCGAGAAGGCCCCAGCUCUACAAAGCAGGAGGCAAGAGGGGAGGACUCAGCUCAGGCUGCCUGGCUGAGUGACGGAUGCAUCGCACGGACAGCUUUAUAUGGCACUCAUCACAUGGAGGUCCUGAUUGCUUCCCAGUGCUAAUGAAGAUCUCCUGUAAUGGGCAUGCAAGACUAAUGCAUCGUGGCACUUCGAUUACAAGAAACAGCUCCUCCUGCCCCAUCUCCUGGAGGUGAAAGCCUGUGACCACAUCAAGGAAAGGCUCAGUGGCUGCCUGGGCUGGAUGUGGCCCAUUUAUAUGCCAGCAGCCGUGCCUGGGGUCCCUGACUGUCCCCUGGGGAGUACACGGGGUACCCAUCCCCACACUGUGGUACAUCUCGCCAUCAGCGUCUCUGAAGGGGCAGCAUUUCUGUUUGUGCUCCUGUCUUUAACAACUUAAAAGAAGAAUAAGAAGAUGGAAAUUGCAAAGCUGCUGGACCAGAACACGGUGUGUGCAGGCAGAAGUCAGUGCCUCCAUGUGCUACGGCCACGGACGCUGUGAGAGAGAAUGGGAGAACAUGAUCAGCAGCUAUUGUGAGAGUAAUGAAAAGAGCCUUUCAACACAGGCGUGGAAGCACACUGGGGAAAAAAAUCCCUCUAUUUAUUUAUAUUGAUAACCCUAUUAAAAUUGCUUCCCACAAAUGAUCUGUGACUGGCACUGCCUUGCCCGGUAUCCGCAAUAAUCAAAUCCCGGUAAGGCAAUUUAGCAAGUUGUGGUGGAUUUUUUUUCCUUCCAAGAGAAAACAGUGGCUUGUUCUUUUAUUCCAGCAGCCUGGCUCUGCAUCCCCAGCCCUCUGCUGUGCUCUGCCUUGGCCAGGAUGCACUGGCAAGGCUGGACCAUCGCUGAAGCCAUCCUGAGCUGUACAUCUGCCUGAGUCCAGGUCCCUGAGCAGAACUGCUGAGUUUGGACUCUUCCACACUAGGGCAGAAUUCCUCAGCCCAUCUCCAUGAAAACAUGAUUAUUGUCAUUAAAUACAUACUGUGAUACACAAUGUCUGUGCAACACUCCCUGAUGAGCCCAUGCACCGAGCUUAACGACUCCUACUGUAUCUAAACACCAUACUCAGCUGUUCAGACACCACCGCAUGCUCGGCUCCCACUGCUGAUGGAGCAGCCUGAUGAUUUUCUUAAGGUCUGAGAUGAUGGUAACACCAUGAGCGUCACAAAAAGAGAUGUCUCCUCUCCCUCCCACUCUCUGCAAGGUUCAUUUCUCAAGCUGAAGCUGCUGAAGAUGGAAAUCCAGCCAGAGCAACGCUACAGCCCUGGUGUUACGGAGCUGGGAUGCUACAACAGAAAUCAGAUGAACACAGUGGGCUCCCGAAGCACUGUGUUUCGAUGGACUUUAAUCUCCCACUUGUGAGACAAGACACUGCUGGGUCUGGUGGUGAUGCCGUGUGCUCCUGUGUGCCGGGAACAUGCGUGACCAUGUGCAGCCAGUGCUGUUGAGGGCUGACACCCCAUAGCACACAUCUGUGUCUAGGCUCAGCUCAGGACUGGCUAUCUCAGCCUGCCUUAUCACCCUGUGUCAGCAGGAACAUCCUCUGCAUCCUCCUCACCAGAGACCUGGCUGAGAAACAGCAGCAUGGAAGGCAGGAUAGACACCCCUUCCCAA